GUGUUCGCUUCAGCAGCACAUGUACUAAAAUUGGAAUGAUACAGAGAUGAUCAGCAUGGUCCCUGCACAAAGAUGAUGCACAAAUUCAUAAAGAUAUUUAGAGGGUUGUU